AUUGAACGCUGGCGGCAUGCCUUACACAUGCAAGUCGAACGGUAACAGAUCUUCGGAUGCUGACGAGUGGCGAACGGGUGAGUAAUACAUCGGAACGUGCCUAGUAGUGGGGGAUAACUACUCGAACGAGUGGCUAAUACCGCAUGAGAUCUAAGGAUGAAAGCAGGGGAUUGCAAGACCUUGCGCUACUAGAGCGGCCGAUGGCAGAGUAGGUAGUUGGUGUGAUAAAAGCUUACCAAGCCGAAGAUCUGUAGCUGGUCUGAGAGGACGAUCAGCCACACUGGGACUGAGACACGGCCCAGACUCCUACGGGAGGCAGCAGUGGGGAAUUUUGGACAAUGGGCGCAAGCCUGAUCCAGCAAUGCCGCGCGCAGGAUGAAGGCCUUCGGGUUGUAAACUGCUUUUGUACGGAACGAAAAGCCCUGGGUUAAUACCCUGGGGUCAUGACGGUACCGUAAGAAUAAGCACCGGCUAACUACGUGCCAGCAGCCGCCGUAAGAC
rnacentral:rRNA from 1 species